GUAGGAGGCGAGCGUUAUCCGGAUUUACUGGGUGUAAAGCGCGUGCAGGCGGCUCGAUAAGUUGGAUGUGAAAGCUCCCGGCUCAACUGGGAGAGGUCGUUCAAGACUGUCGGGCUUGAGGGAGGUAGGGGAAGGUGGAAUUCCGGGUGUAGUGGUGAAAUGCGUAGAUAUCCGGAGGAACACCAGUGGCGAAGGCGGCCUUCUGGACCCCCCCUGACGCUCAGACGCGAAAGCUAGGGGAGCAAACGGGAUUAGAGACCCCGGUAGUCCUAGCCGUAAACGAUGUGAACUUGGCGCCGGUCGGGUAAAACUGGGCGGUGCCGGAGCUAACGCGAUAAGUUCACCACCUGGGGACUACGGCCGCAAGGUUAAA
rnacentral:rRNA from 1 species